rnacentral:lncRNA from 1 species
GGGCCAGAGUUCAGUGAUCUGCAAACCUGUCUGCCAUGUGGAACAGCCUCGUACUGGUGUGGAUCCCAAGAGAGCUGAACAGCCCCAGAAGAGCAGGGUGUUCUCUGGUGCUGCAGCACAUUGGGUGUGAGCGCGCGUGGUGCCACGCUGGCUGGCCCGGGCACACUUCCAUCACAUGCAUUCUGUGUGGCAUGAGGACGCUGCAUCUGAGAGAGGCUGGCCCUCCAGACAGUCUGCAACCUUCCAACCCUAAGAUGAACUGAGAGGAGGAGCCAAGGGCAGCCAGGGAGGACUUCCUGCUUGUCUGUGAUUCUCUGAUGAUCUUGAACACACAUACCUCAUACCGAAAAUGGACCAUCAUCACUUAUUGUGUCCUCUACUCUUUUUGCUCUUAUUGGUCCUAUUUCCCGAUUUAUUUUUACUUUUCCAAUUGACCAGUUCUUUGAUUCCCUUUUGUUACAGGCCUGAUGUCUGACCCAGUGACUAACAGCAUUAGGUUUGUAUUGACAUGCUAUGUACAUUUCUGUCACUUGCUCUUUCGAUAAGUUUUUUUGGUUAGCCCCUUAUACAGGGAUAAAGCAGCAACCUACACUCUUGCC